rnacentral:rRNA from 1 species
GAUGAACGCUAGCGGGAGGCCUAAUACAUGCAAGUCGAGCGGUAGAAUGACUUCGGUUGUUUGAGAGCGGCGAACGGGUGAGUAACGCGUACACAAUCUACCUUUAAGAGGGGAAUAGCCCUGGGAAACUGGGAUUAAUGCCCCAUGGCAUCACGGGAUGGCAUCGUUUUGUGAUUAAAGCUGAGGUGCUUAAAGAUGAGUGUGCGUCUGAUUAGCUAGUUGGUACGGUAACGGCGUACCAAGGCGACGAUCAGUAGGGGGCGUGAGAGCGUGGACCCCCACACGGGUACUGAGACACGGCCCAGACUCCUACGGGAGGCAGCAGUGGGGAAUAUUGGACAAUGGGCGCAAGCCUGAUCCAGCAAUGCCGCGUGUGUGAAGAAGGCCUGCGGGUUGUAAAGCACUUUCAGUGGGGAAGAACAGGUUCGGGUCGAAUACCCGGACGCCUCGACGUUACCCACCAGAAGAAGACACCGCGUAACUCCGUGCCAGCAGCCGCGGUAAAGUAG